ACAUCGUUUGGACCGUCGGUCUACCGAGCAAUAUCAACCGCUCGGUGGAAGAUUUUUCCUCCGUCAU
rnacentral:pre_miRNA from 1 species